CCGCAGCAAGUGCAGCCCUUCCUCGCGAAGGUGGAGGACGCUGUGCUUGCGUACACAGCUCCUGUGGUUGCCAAGGCAUCCGACCAGGCAGAGAAGUUUCUGCGUAUUACCGACGAGCAGGUUUGGCCCAGGGUCCGGGUGAUUGCGUAACGCAAGGCAACCGUUAGAAGCUACGCCAACCGCUAGCUUGCACCUUGCUUAGCUAUGCGAUACCUUGUUCACAUGUUGUACAGUUUGAGUCGCGUCUUGUGCUUAAUGCGUCUCCUUGCACGUCGCCUCGUCUUCUGGAUGCUGCAACAUCCGUGACCGCCUUGGCACAAUGGUUGCCUCUGGUUUAUUCAUGGGAACGCUUAUCCAUGCC
rnacentral:lncRNA from 1 species